ACCCUGGAUAGCUCAGUUGGUCAGAGUGUGGUGCUGAUAACACCAACGUUGCAGGUUUGAUCCUUGUAUGGGGCA